rnacentral:rRNA from 1 species
UAAAGCGGCGAACGGGUGAGGAAUACAUGGGUACUACCCUCGAGUUGGGGAAUAACUAGCCGAAAGGUUAGCUAAUACCGCAUACGACUCCUGGUCUGCGGAUCGGGAGGGAAAGCGAUACCGUGGGUAUCGCGCUCUUGGAUGGGCUCAUGUCCUAUCAGCUUGUUGGUGAGGUAAUGGGUCACCAAGGGUUCGACGGGUAACUGGUCUGAAGGACGAUCAGCAACUGGCACUGCGACACGGGCCAGACUCCUACGGGAGGCAGCAGUAAGGAAUAUUGCGCAAUGGGCGACAGCCUGACGCAGCGACGCCGCGUGGGGGAUGAAGGUCUUCGGAUUGUAAACCCCUUUCGGCAGGGAAAUGGAACGGGUAACCGUUCGGACGGUACCUGCAGAAGCAGGCACGGUAACUUCGUGCCAGCAGCCGCGGUAAUACCGAAGGUCGGCAAGCGUGCCGGAAUCCACCUGGGCGUAACAGGGAGCGUAAGCGGCUGGGGUUAAAGCCCUUCCGGUGGAAAAUCUCCCACGGGGGACCUAAACCGGAAAAACGUUGCGCCGCAAAGGGGACCUGGACCCCGGCUAACGACAGGACAUGAGGCAA